rnacentral:rRNA from 1 species
CCUACGGGGGGCAGCAGUGGGGAAUAGUGGACAAUGGGGGGAACCCUGAUCCAGCCAUGCCGCGUGUGUGAAGAAGGCCCUCGGGUUGUAAAGCACUUUCAGUGAGGAAGAACGCCUGGUGGUUAAUACCCAUCAGGAAAGACAUCACUCACAGAAGAAGCACCGGCUAACUCCGUGCCAGCAGCCGCGGUAAUACGGAGGGUGCGAGCGUUAAUCGGAAUUACUGGGCGUAAAGCGCGCGUAGGUGGCUUGAUAAGCCGGUUGUGAAAGCCCCGGGCUCAACCUGGGAACGGCAUCCGGAACUGUCAAGCUAGAGUGCAGGAGAGGAAGGUAGAAUUCCCGGUGUAGCGGUGAAAUGCGUAGAGAUCGGGAGGAAUACCAGUGGCGAAGGCGGCCUUCUGGACUGACACUGACACUGAGGUGCGAAAGCGUGGGUAGCAAACAGGAUUAGAUACCCUGGUAGUA